rnacentral:misc_RNA from 1 species
GCACUCUCACAUCUAACCUUGGGUUAAAAUGUGGAACUGGGAUGCGCCGGUUAUCAUAACGGCCCUCCUAAAAUUCAGUUCUUGGCUGCUUCCUACUACAGCAGUUUGGCCUAAUAGUUUUGAGUCUCCGAUUCAAAUCUUUGGCUAACAUUUGCUUCAGUGACGUCAGCUUUGAUACAGAAAACUCAUUAAAC